GAUUCAUCUUCAGCCAUCCAUUUCUUUCACCUUUUCACACGGAUUGUGAUCUGAACGGUUGAUAUUCAGCUCACACGGAUCAAGGGUUACUUUCAUUUGAUUUACUCUCACAAAACUUCAUCAACCCUUUCUCUCUCUCUGGCGACUCAUGAACAUAUCUUGUUAAAAUCCUCUGAUUAGGGUUCCGGCAGUGGGAUUCUCGAGCAGAUUGGUGGCAGACGAGCAUCUGGCUGUAGAUGGUGUUUGCAGAUCUGUUAUAAUACUUGCCUACUAAAUCGCAUGAUGGCAGUGGCGAGUUCUAGGGUUUCGGCGGCUACAGGCUUAUAGUUACUCGCCAAGAGUCCAAUCGGUGGUCAAAUCUGUCUCGCAAGGCCCAGAUCCAUGAAUAAAUGUUUAACAGAAUAUAGGGUUUUGAUGUCUGGACCACCAGGUUAAAAACGGAGAUCAAAGUUGAUUUGAGUCCUUUAACGAUUUCAGAUCUCCAUUGACCCUCACCCUAGAUUCGGUUUGACUGAUGCACAUAUUCACCAUUGAAGGGCAUGAUGAACUGGGUUCGAUAGGAGUUUGAAGGGUUAUUUUGAACCCAAAACUCAAAAAUAAGAGCAACAAAUCAACAAUUGCUGGUAUUUCGUUGAGUUAUAAUGCAGUUAUUUGAGAAGGCCAUCAAGGGUUCUGAAGUUCAAUGGAACUCGAAUAAAUAAUAUUCACCAUCUUGCUCAUCUUGUUGAUUGGAAAGCCGCCUGAUUGGCAGUCUUUUGUGGGUAUUAUCACUCUGCUCAUAAUCAAUAACAAAGUUAGUUUCAUUGAAGCAAAGAAAGCUGGUAAUGUAGCAGCUCGCAAGGCCAGUCUUGCCCCAGGUAUCCUAUCCUUUGUUCUUCAUAAUGUAAAAAGUGCAAACAUGGUUAAAUCGAGGCGAUUGCGAUUGCUACUAGGGUUUAUAUGUUCUUUAGGAGAGUUGCUUAUAUUGUUGAUAGCACAAAUCAAGCUGGUCACUUUCAAAAACUAAACAUGAAAAAGAAUCAAACCAAUUAUUUUGUUUCAUUGGUGUACGUUUCGAAUCUUGCACACAACAAACAGACAUAGAACGCCAGUUCAAGGCGUCAUUGAUUAAUCUGCAGACUGCGGAUUAAGGUCACUUGCUGUAGCGUACCAGAAAGUUCUAGAGGAGCAUUAGGCGAGUCCUGGAGGACCGUGGCAAAUCGUUGGGCUAAUGCUGCUCUUUGAUCUGCCACAUCAUGACAAUGCUGCAACUACAUGUUAUGUGGUGUUACAUCCACAAGUCAAAGGGGCCAGUGAUGGGUAUCAAUUACGACACACAGGUGGAUCUUUGAGUAAUGUGCUGCUAAUAGAUGAACUAAAUCCUUAGACAUAACUUAGACUGUGGAGUAUGGGGCUUGGGCAAGGUUUAAAAAAACGGAAACGAGUUUCGAGGCGUUUUCCCUUCGCCUCACGAGGCGUAAGCCUUGAGGCGAACCGAGGCGUAAGCCCGAGGCGGAGUUAAAAAAUAAAUAUAAAUAUUAUAUAUCUUAUAAAAAUAGUAAUAGUAACUAAAUUCAUCAUCAAAUUCAUCAAAAUAAUCAAAAACACACAUAAAAAAGACAUACAUUGCUUGAAAUUGACACAAAAACUCAAAAACAUCAAAAACAUAUAUCAAAAACCCCUGAGGCGCACCUGAGGCACAGCCUUUUUAGCACCUCAGCCCCUCUGAGGCGCACAUACAGUAUACACCCCCUGAGGCGCGCCUCAGAAUCGUUUUUCGGCCGUUUCGCCUUGAGGCGCGCCUCGAGGCGCACACCUCAGCCGUUUUUUAAAACCAUGGGCUUGGGUUUGAAGCUGGGCGUGGGGCGGGCUUGAGAUCCGAUGUGGCGGCCUCCUAUUCGCUGUCCACCGCCAUGUCAUGGCGGGUGUUUGCAAUUUUUUUUAAUAAACUGCCAAGCCACGCCCCCAACCCAAGCCCCGCCAUACCCCACGGACACGUCACUCACCGGUGGAAGGGCUCCAACUCCACGUGUCAACUCAUGCCCCCAACCCAACCCAAGCCCCACCAUACCCCACGGUCUUAAUGCUCAAAUUGUUAGUAGGUUGAGUGGUCACAUUUCCCUAAGACUUUCUGUUUUCACCAAGAAUUCCUAACCUGCAUUGUAUACUGAAAAAAAAAAAGAAUUCAAGCAUUUCAAUCAGAUGGUAACAGAAGAAGAUAAUCCUCCUUUAAUAGAGAUUAAUGCUCAAAUUGUUAGUAGGUUGAUGUAACAGAAGAAGAUAAUCCUCCUUUAAUAGAGAUUAACGAAGCUUCCAUUUUCAAGUAAAGCUUUCAAAAUUGUUUUACGCCAUCAUCUAGAAUAUGCUAUUUCUUUAUCAGGCUGUAUAAUCUAAAUUUUCUUUUACCUUCAGGCCUAUGUCAGUAAAAGCGCGCAUGGGUUGAGUGGUUGAAUUGAUUCCAAAACGUUUGUUUGAUAUUGUGUGGUCUUUCGUUUGGUUUACUCAUGAACUGCAAAGAAAUGGUUGUUUGGUUUACUUACGAACUGAUUCCGAAAUGGUUGUUUGAUAUUGUGUUGGCUGCUUCAUUUUGGUUUUGUGCCGCUGUUCAUUUUGGUUAAUUAGCAUGGGAAUACUUAUAGAUGUUGAUUAUUGUGAUCACUUUGAAGUUUUUCUUUAUUAUUACCAUUUAAUAAUGGGUCAUUAUGAUGAUUUUAGAAUCGAGUUGCCAAAAAUAUGCCUGGCCAAUUGCUGCAUUUUGGUCAACGGCUGCAUUUUAAUUUGAUGUUGCUGGUGUUUUUGGUUUAUCCUUUAUGGUCAAUAGCUUAAAUGGGUUUUAUAAACUAUUCAAUUUACCUUUUGGAUCCAUAUGCGAAAAAACAAACCUUUGAACGAAAUUCACAAAAGUGAGAUGCUAUUUAUGUGUAGGUGUCACAGAACAUGCAAAUUCUCUUUCAUAUGCUGAUGCUGUAAUUGGUACGUAAUUGGUACGUCGGGCACUAAUAUUAGUUAUAUUUGACGAGCCAGUGGUGCAACCAUUGCUAUACAAGAAACAAGAGGUGUUCCUGAUGAAAUGACUGUUGAGAUUAACGGUUCAGCUUCACAAGUUCAGACAGCUCAGCAGUUGAUACAGAAUUUUGUUGCUGAAGCGGCAACUGCAACUCAGAAUUCAACUGCUCAGCCACCUGCCCAAGGAAGCUAUAACCCUUACUCGGGUCAUGCUCCUGCUUACCCGUCUCAACCACCUCCUGUCGCCCAUGCACCGCCACCUGCUGCUGACUAUGGUGGAUCUGUGUAUGGAGGGAAUAACGGGUAUUAAAGUGUGUGGUGACUGAAUAACCUUGUAAAGUUAUCUUUAUGUUUGGAGGGAGCAAGGGUAAUGUUGUAACGAGUAAUAGCUAGGUCUUUUGUCGUUUAUCUUUUUAGAACUUGAAACGUUGCGGCUUGCUUGGCCUCUCACUUCUCAGUUUAUGCAAAAUUGUGUUCUGGAUGAUGUUUUCGGAUCUAAUUAAGGUUUUACUUCAUAUCUAGAUUUACUAUUA